rnacentral:rRNA from 1 species
GAUGAACGCUGGCGGCGUGCCUAAUACAUGCAAGUCGAGCGAACAGAUAAGGAGCUUGCUCCUUUGACGUUAGCGGCGGACGGGUGAGUAACACGUGGGUAACCUACCUAUAAGACUGGAAUAACUCCGGGAAACCGGGGCUAAUGCCGGAUAACAUUUAGAACCGCAUGGUUCUAAAGUGAAAGAUGGUUUUGCUAUCACUUAUAGAUGGACCCGCGCCGUAUUAGCUAGUUGGUAAGGUAACGGCUUACCAAGGCAACGAUACGUAGCCGACCUGAGAGGGUGAUCGGCCACACUGGAGCUGAGACACGGUCCAGACUCCUACGGGAGGCAGCAGUAGGGAAUCUUCCGCAAAGGGCGAGAGCCUGACGGAGCAACGCCGCGUGAGUGAUGAAGGUCUUCGGAUCGUAAAACUCUGUUAUGAGUGAAGAACAAAUGUGUAAGUAACUAUGCACGUCUUGACGGUACCUAAUCAGAAAGCCACGGCUAACUACGUG